rnacentral:rRNA from 1 species
GAUGAACGCUGGCGGCGUGCUUAACACAUGCAAGUCGAACGAUGAAGCCCAGCUUGCUGGGUGGAUUAGUGGCGAACGGGUGAGUAACACGUGAGUAACCUGCCCUUAACUCUGGGAUAAGCCUGGGAAACUGGGUCUAAUACCGGAUAGGAGCGUCCACCGCAUGGUGGGUGUUGGGAAGAUUUAUCGGUUUUGGAUGGACUCGCGGCCUAUCAGCUUGUUGGUGUGGUAAUGGCUCACCAAGGCGACGACGGGUAGCCGGCCUGAGAGGGUGACCGGCCACACUGGGACUGAGACACGGCCCAGACUCCUACGGGAGGCAGCAGUGGGGAAUAUUGCACAAUGGGCGCAAGCCUGAUGCAGCGACGCCGCGUGAGGGAUGACGGCCUUCGGGUUGUAAACCUCUUUCAGUAGGGAAGAAGCGAAAGUGACGGUACCUGCAGAAGAAGCACCGGCUAACUACGUG